CAUACACACAACACACUAAUACACUAUUCAAUUGGUGUUUGGUAUUGGUGAGUGGUGUAGUGUACUGACUACUGGGCAUUUGUGUCUGGCGUCUGGUGUCUGGCGUCUGGCGUCUGGCGUCUGGAGCCAUCCCCAGGGCCCAACGUCCAUCGUCACACUAGCAGUCAGCGAGGCGUCAUGACAAAGUCAAAUAAAAAUAUUAACAUUAAACAUUUUGUUUAAUGUUUGAGUCAUUGGACUGGGCAUGUUACGGUGGCCGACGCAGACACCAGACGCCAGACUUUGGCACAAUGCACUGCAGUUCCACAAAGAAAUGUGUCAACGAAAAUACAGGACAUUUUGUAAGUUACUCACCUAUCCCUAUAGCAAUUCAUAAUUGAUGUUAGUGGAUUGAAGAUCAGAAUACGGCGGCUUUUAAAUACAAUGGCAAUCAAAGAAGAAAUAAAAAUUAAGAAAGUUAUUACUGGAGAAGAAUGCACUAAUAGACUUCAGGAUGGAGUUCCUCUUUUACAUCAUAGAACCUUAUAAUAUGAAGUUGUAUUUGUGUCAAACACCCUGUUGCCAACAAACUAUACAAGCGAUAUUCUAUCAGCUAAUGAGGUUCCUGUUUACCUGCCAUCUGAAGUAUGAGCAAUCAAAAACAUGGAAUGAGACUGCGUAUCAACCUAAGUUUGUACGUUUGCUUACCCGAGUUACAGAAACAUUUACUGCCGCCGUGUUACAAGGCCACAUCACCCAUUUUGGUCAAUUCACACAGUGUCAUUCAAAUAUUAAUUAUUUGGAAAUAAUUUUUUCAUUUUAUUACAAAAUAAUUCUUGUAUUUAAAGUCAUACUCAUAUCUCUAUAAUUUUUUUUUUCAAAAACAUAAUGUUUAAAAUUGUAAAGAAAAAUAUUAUAUAGUUACUCCAGAAGUUAGGUUAUUGCAAAACUGCAUUUAAUAGCUAAACAAUUUAAUAUUCUAUUAAUCUUUAAGGUAUUAUUAUCAUAAUAAACUAAAGUUAGGAUAACUUGGGCUUAUCAUAAUAAUAGUACUUUAAACUUCAGUUGAAAACUAAAUUAUUAUCUGUAUUCAAAUAAGAGUUAAGUUAAUUUACUUAAAUAUAUGACCAUUUAAUAUUUAUUGGGUAAUUUUUGUUAUAGGACAACCUAUUUUUUAAACUUUCUCCUAUAGUUGAAUAUGUUUAUAUAAAAUAGACAUCAAAAACAAUCUAAGUAUAAAUGUGCCUGGAAUAUUCUCUGCUCAAUUUUAAUUUAUAAAUACAAACUAUUUUAAACUCCUAAUCUGAAGUAUGUUCACUAUACAAUUUUAAAUAUAUUUUUUCGGUAAAAAUUCAUUUCAUGGAUACUAACUAUCUACUUAAAAAUGCAUUUUUUUAUUAUUAACUACAAAUACAUAUAUUGUGUGUUCUAAGCAACCGUGUACACUUUAUCACUCAUUAGUCAUUAGUCAUUACGCUGUUAAUUUAUUUCUAUUAUGUUUGCAGGACAUCAAACUAAACUAAUGGAUUAUAAAUUCCUAUGACUUCAAAUUUUUUCUACUCAUAAAUUUUGCAUAUGCGCAACAAAACUUAAUUUUUUUUCAAUAGGCAACCCCUAUUUGAAAUAUUUUUGGGUUGAUGGAUAAAUUUCUAAAAAAAAUUUUAUUUUAUUCUAAACACCCUUAUCCAAUCAAAAUUAUUAUUAUUAAAGUAAUAAAAUAUUUACUAUUAAUGAAUUAUUAUUUUAUUGUUACACAUUAAGAAAUAACAUUACUUAAACAUGUAUUUUCAGGAAAUAAAAUUCUAAGAUUUUAUUUUUUUUUUAACAAUACUGUCGAUAUUAUAAAUUUUAAUUUACAAAAAUUACAAACAAACUUUUCAAUAAAUAGUUCGGAAACCCCCCGUUGUAUACAGUGCUUACCUCAAAUCGACAUAAAAAUUCACGAGUAGUUGCUAGCUGUAUUUGAUUUUCGUGUAAGAGGUUACAUGCGUGUCUAAUUGUAUUCUUGAAAUCUUGAAUGUUGACAGGAGGAUCAGUAAACAACACAUUUUUCAAGUGUCCCCGCCAAAAAAAAAAUCUAACAGUGUUAGAUCAGGUGACUUUGUUGGCCACUCAACUGGUCCAUGUGUUGCAAUCAAUUGUUCACCAAAUUUUAUUCUCAAAAAUUUUUGGACUUUUGGGUUAUUAUGAACGUCACCAUAAACCAAGAAGUAAAAUGUAAUCUUGUUUCUGGGUCUGUUAUGCGAAAAUGUCGAUCAAAGUCUGGUUUGUAAGGGUGUAGUUUGUCUGUCUUAAAUAUCCUGUGAAUUAUAGUUUUAGGCGCACCAUCAGCAUGUCUAAUGGACGAACGUGGGUUAAUAUUUAUUUAUGCUAAAACUUGAUUUUCAAUAAAAAUUUUAAUUUACACGAGGUUGAUGUUGAGCAGCAUUUGUUCUAUUAAAUGAACCAUUUUUUAUCAAAGACUUAUCAAAAUUUGAACUAUAAUUUUAUACUAGGUACGUAUUGACAAUAACGAACAAAAAUCGCAAACUAAGACCGCAAUAACACAUGGUUCUAAUAAUGAGUCACAAUACCUCAUAUGAAAAUAGGUACUUAACUGAUAGUAUUUUAAUAGAUACCUAAAUAUAAUUCUGAUUGAUGGAAAAAUACCUACACCCAAUUAGAAAUAAAAUUAAUGUUUAAAUGUCGAUUUGGCUGCACACGAUUCUAUACAACAAAGGGACUCUCGAACAACUUAUUGAAUAGUUUAUGUUUGUAAUUUCUAUAAAUUAAAUUGUAAAUAAAAAUGUGUAGUAUUGUUAAAAAGAAAUUAAAUAGAAAUUUAGAAUUUUGUUUCCUGAAAAU